rnacentral:rRNA from 1 species
CGUCAAGUCCUCAUGGCCUUUAUGUCCAGGGCUACACACGUGCUACAAUGGGCGGUACAGAGGGUUGCCAUACCGCGAGGUGGCGCCAAUCCCAAAAAACCGUCCCCAGUACGGAUUGCAGUCUGCAACUCGACUGCAUGAAGUUGGAAUCGCUAGUAAUCCCGGAUCAGCAUGCCGGGGUGAAUACGUUCCCGGGCCUU